rnacentral:rRNA from 1 species
GAACGAGAAAGUGGAGCAAUCCAUGAGUAAAGUGGCGCACGGGUGAGUAACACGUGACUAACCUACCCUUGAGUGGGGAAUAACUUCGGGAAACCGAGGCUAAUACCGCAUAACACCUACGGGUCAAAGGAGCAAUUCGCUUAAGGAGGGGGUCGCGGCAGAUUAGUUAGUUGGCGGGGUAAUGGCCCACCAAGACGGUGAUCUGUAUCCGGCCUGAGAGGGCGCACGGACACACUGGAACUGAAACACGGUCCAGACUCCUACGGGAGGCAGCAGUGGGGAAUUUUGCGCAAUGGGGGAAACCCUGACGCAGCAACGCCGCGUGGAGGAUGAAGUCCCUUGGGACGUAAACUCCUUUCGAUCGGGACGAUUAUGACGGUACCGGAAGAAGAAGCCCCGGCUAACUUCGUGCCAGCAGCCGCGGUAAUACGAGGGGGGCGAGCGUUGUUCGGAAUUAUUGGGCGUAAAGGGCGCGUAGGCGGCUGGAUAAGUCUUGUGUGAAAUCUUCGGGCUCAACUCGAAGUCUGCACAGGAAACUAUCCGGCUUGAGUGUGGGAGAGGUGAGUGGAAUUCCUGGUGUAGCGGUGAAAUGCGUAGAUAUCAGGAGGAACACCUGUGGCGAAAGCGGCUCACUGGACCACAACUGACGCUGAGGCGCGAAAGCUAGGGGAGCAAACAGGAUUAGAUACCCUGGUAGUCCUAGCCCUAAACGAUGAUCGCUUGGUGUGACGGGUACCCCAUCCCGCCGUGCCGAAGCUAACGCGUUAAGCGAUCCGCCUGGGGAGUACGGUCGCAAGGCUGAAACUCAAAGGAAUUGACGGGGGCCCGCACGAGCGGUGGAGCAUGUGGUUUAAUUCGACGCAACGCGAAGAACCUUACCUGGGCUCGAAAUGUAGUGGAAUCCGGUGGAAACAUCGGCGCCCAGCAAUGGGCCGCUAUAUAGGUGCUGCAUGGCUGUCGUCAGCUCGUGUCGUGAGAUGUUGGGUUAAGUCCCGCAACGAGCGCAACCCUUGUUACCAGUUGCUACCAUUUAGUUGAGCACUCUGGUGAGACCGCCUCGGAUAACGGGGAGGAAGGCGGGGAUGACGUCAAGUCCUCAUGGCCUUUAUGUCCAGGGCUACACACGUGCUACAAUGGCCGGUACAAACCGUCGCAAACCCGUGAGGGGGAGCUAAUCGGAAAAAGCCGGCCUCAGUUCGGAUUGGAGUCUGCAACUCGACUCCAUGAAGCUGGAAUCGCUAGUAAUCGCGGAUCAGAACGCCGCGGUGAAUACGUUCCCGG